GCUCUUCACAAAAUUAUUCAAGGUGGCAAGUCGGGUAAUUGGGAGGUGCCAAAACCGUAAGUUUGGCGUACCUCGGUUGAUACGAAGGUAGCAAGUGGCUUAGAGUGGAUCCACUACCGGUCAUCGUGUUAAGGAGUGUUUGGGCAAGCGUUGGAUGAUGUGGAUGAGCGAGCUGGUUGUAGGUAGUGAACUAAGAAGUUGGUUUAUAUAAGCUGUAAAUAAGUCAUCGGUGGAUGU